GUCUAUGGCCAUACCACCCUGAAAUGCGCUAGAUGUCAUCUGAUCUCGGAAGCUAAGCAGGGUCGGGCCUAGUUAAUACUUGGAUGGGAGAAAAUAUGUUCAAACU
rfam:Pongo abelii chromosome 1.